rnacentral:lncRNA from 1 species
GUACAAUUAAGUCAGGCCUAACUCACUCUCUAUCCUGAAUAGCUUUUUUUUUUUCCCCUGGAUUCCUGAUUGCUUUGCUUAUUUUCAGAUUUAGUGACUCAAUUCAACUUUUAAAGUCCCAGUUAAAGUUUAGUGCUGGGGCACAGAUAAAAUUCUGAAAAAAGCUACUCUACUAAUAACAGCCGCCAGAAUUCUACCGCCACGUGGGUGGUCUCUGCCAGCUUCCCGAGUUGUGCCCCCCGAGUGGAUGGACAAAAUAAUACAGAGACAUUAUAAAAGGAACAUGGAUGAAGAGCUGCUUGAAGGAGUAUGGGCAGCUAAGAUCUCCUCAUCUUCAUGAUUAUUAUCUUCUCACUUCUUUGGAGCAGGAAGAUCAUGAGAAACCUUCUCUACAGUUUCAUACUAUGCCUGAUGUGUACCACUCUCCUCCCCCAGUGGAAAGGAGGAUGGACAAGACAAUGAACAUGUAUUGUUAUCUCCCCAGAACCUUCAUCCAGCAGCUGAUGGAAGUGGAAGCAGACACCCACAGCUAAACACUGAACUGAACUGGAAUUCAGUUGCAGAGAAGGAGGAAAGAUGAGCAAAGGGGUCAAGACCAGGCUGGUGAAACCCACAGAAACAGCUGAUGUGAACAAGGGAGAGCUCUUGGUUCCCAGACUGAUCACUGGGAAACCAACAUGGAACUGAACCAGACCUCAUGAAUGUGGAUGUCAGUGAGGAGGCCUGGGAAAU